CUCUAGGUGUGCCUGUUUGAGGGUCAAGCCACAGCUUAUGUGCAUCUCAAGUGUGCAUGGUAGGCCUGCACGAUAAAUAGUUAUUAAAAAACGCGAUCUUGAUUCACCCCUUGGAGAUGUAAAUUAUAA